rnacentral:lncRNA from 1 species
AGCAUAUAAUGGGUUAUUCAUUUUUACAAUCACCAAACAAACAAUUCAACUUCUCUCUAAUACAAAGCCUUCCUUCCUUUGGAAAUUCUCUUGUGUUCUAAUAUUCCCUUAGAGAUUUUGAGUUUUGUAAGGCUAACUAGGCAUAGCAAGAACAUGAGCAAGUUAUACGAGAUCGUGAGCAAGUUAUCAAGUGUUACAUGUGUGCUUAGUUCACGACUAAAGACGUGUCAAAUGUAACCAUAAUGUGUACAUAGUCAAUAUUUAGGUAAGCAGACAUACUUUCUUUUGACAUCCCACUUAGGUAAAGAUCUAUGUUAUCCCCGUCCAUAUUGCCUCUAUUGGGGCUCUUGGUUCCCAACUUACAUCUCCACUUCUUUCCGGUCCUCUUGAAUUGAUUUUCUAGGGCUUCUUAAGCUCUUGAAGAUUGUUAUAGAAAUGAUACCAAGUGGCCACUCGAUAGGGCUGUACUUUAGGAAUUAGUCAUCA